rnacentral:rRNA from 1 species
CCUACGGGUGGCAGCAGUGGGGAAUAUUGCACAAUGGGGGCAACCCUGAUGCAGCGACGCCGCGUGAGUGAAGAAGUACUUCGGUAUGUAAAGCUCUGUCAGCAGGGACGAAAAUGACGGUACCUGACCAAGAAGCCCCGGCUAACUACGUGCCAGCAGCCGCGAUAAUACGUAGGGGGCAAGCGUUAUCCGGAUUUACUGGGUGUAAAGGGAGCGUAGACGGCAAGGCAAGUCUGGAGUGAAAGGCGGGGGCUCAACCCCCGGACUGCUCUGGAAACUGCCAGGCUGGAGUGAAGGAGAGGUAAGUGGAAUUCCUAGUGUAGCGGUGAAAUGCGUAGAUAUUAGGAGGAACACCAGUGGCGAAGGCGGCUUACUGGACAGUAACUGACGUUGAGGCGCGAAAGCGUGGGGAGCAAACAGGAUUAGAUACCCCUGUAGUC